rnacentral:rRNA from 1 species
CACGUAGUUAGCCGUGGCUUUCUGAUUAGGUACCGUCAAGAUGUGCACAGUUACUUACACAUUUGUUCUUCCCUAAUAACAGAGUUUUACGAGCCGAAACCCUUCAUCACUCACGCGGCGUUGCUCCGUCAGGCUUUCGCCCAUUGCGGAAGAUUCCCUACUGCUGCCUCCCGUAGGAGUCUGGACCGUGCCUCAGUUCCAGUGUGGCCGAUCACCCUCUCAGGUCGGCUACGUAUCGUCGCCUUGGUAAGCCGUUACCUUACCAACUAGCUAAUACGGCGCGGGUCCAUCUAUAAGUGAUAGCAAAACCAUCUUUCACUUUAGAACCAUGCGGUUCUAAAUGUUAUCCGGUAUUAGCUCCGGUUUCCCGAAGUUAUCCCAGUCUUAUAGGUAGGUUACCCACGUGUUACUCACCCGUCCGCCGCUAACUUCAAAGGAGCAAGCUCCUUAUCUGUUCGCUCGACUUGCAUGUAUUAGGCACGCCGCCAGCGUUCAUCCUGAGCCAGGAUCAAACUCU